rnacentral:rRNA from 1 species
GGCUCAGAUUGAACGCUGGCGGCAGGCCUAACACAUGCAAGUCGAGCGGUAGCACAGAGAGCUUGCUCUCGGGUGACGAGCGGCGGACGGGUGAGUAAUGUCUGGGAAACUGCCUGAUGGAGGGGGAUAACUACUGGAAACGGUAGCUAAUACCGCAUAAUGUCGCAAGACCAAAGUGGGGGACCUUCGGGCCUCAUGCCAUCAGAUGUGCCCAGAUGGGAUUAGCUAGUAGGUGGGGUAACGGCUCACCUAGGCGACGAUCCCUAGCUGGUCUGAGAGGAUGACCAGCCACACUGGAACUGAGACACGGUCCAGACUCCUACGGGAGGCAGCAGUGGGGAAUAUUGCACAAUGGGCGCAAGCCUGAUGCAGCCAUGCCGCGUGUGUGAAGAAGGCCUUCGGGUUGUAAAGCACUUUCAGCGGGGAGGAAGGCGAUAAGGUUAAUAACCUUGUCGAUUGACGUUACCCGCAGAAGAAGCACCGGCUAACUCCGUGCCAGCAGCCGCGGUAAUACGGAGGGUGCAAGCGUUAAUCGGAAUUACUGGGCGUAAAGCGCACGCAGGCGGUCUGUCAAGUCGGAUGUGAAAUCCCCGGGCUCAACCUGGGAACUGCAUUCGAAACUGGCAGGCUAGAGUCUUGUAGAGGGGGGUAGAAUUCCAGGUGUAGCGGUGAAAUGCGUAGAGAUCUGGAGGAAUACCGGUGGCGAAGGCGGCCCCCUGGACAAAGACUGACGCUCAGGUGCGAAAGCGUGGGGAGCAAACAGGAUUAGAUACCCUGGUAGUCCACGCCGUAAACGAUGUCGAUUUGGAGGUUGUGCCCUUGAGGCGUGGCUUCCGGAGCUAACGCGUUAAAUCGACCGCCUGGGGAGUACGGCCGCAAGGUUAAAACUCAAAUGAAUUGACGGGGGCCCGCACAAGCGGUGGAGCAUGUGGUUUAAUUCGAUGCAACGCGAAGAACCUUACCUGGUCUUGACAUCCACAGAACUUAGCAGAGAUGCUUUGGUGCCUUCGGGAACUGUGAGACAGGUGCUGCAUGGCUGUCGUCAGCUCGUGUUGUGAAAUGUUGGGUUAAGUCCCGCAACGAGCGCAACCCUUAUCCUUUGUUGCCAGCGGUUCGGCCGGGAACUCAAAGGAGACUGCCAGUGAUAAACUGGAGGAAGGUGGGGAUGACGUCAAGUCAUCAUGGCCCUUACGACCAGGGCUACACACGUGCUACAAUGGCAUAUACAAAGAGAAGCGACCUCGCGAGAGCAAGCGGACCUCAUAAAGUAUGUCGUAGUCCGGAUUGGAGUCUGCAACUCGACUCCAUGAAGUCGGAAUCGCUAGUAAUCGUAGAUCAGAAUGCUACGGUGAAUACGUUCCCGGGCCUUGUACACACCGCCCGUCACACCAUGGGAGUGGGUUGCAAAAGAAGUAGGUAGCUUAACCUUCGGGAGGGCGCUUACCACUUUGUGAUUCAUGACUGGGGUGAAGCGUACA